GACGAACGCUGGCGGCAGGCCUAACACAUGCAAGUCGAACGCCCCUUCGGGGGAGUGGCGGACGGGUGAGUAACGCGUGGGAACGUGCCCUUUGGUACGGAACAACUGAGGGAAACUUCAGCUAAUACCGUAUGUGCCCCCAUUCUUAGCGGGAUGGGUGGGAAAGAUUUAUCGCCAUUGGAGCGGCCCGCGUUAGAUUAGCUAGUUGGUAGGGUAAUGGCCUACCAAGGCGACGAUCUAUAGCUGGUCUGAGAGGAUGAUCAGCCACACUGGGACUGAGACACGGCCCAGACUCCUACGGGAGGCAGCAGUGGGGAAUCUUGCGCAAUGGGCGAAAGCCUGACGCAGCCAUGCCGCGUGAAUGAUGAAGGUCUUAGGAUUGUAAAAUUCUUUUCACCGGGGACGAUAAUGACGGUACCCGGAGAAGAAGCCCCGGCUAACUUCGUGCCAGCAGCCGCGGUAAGACCGUAGCGUG
rnacentral:rRNA from 1 species